rnacentral:rRNA from 1 species
AUGUUGCGAGCUUGGUUGACAUGGACAAGAUCAAUGAGUUUUGCGUGGGAUGAGCAUUUUCUGGCUGCUGCUUUGAAGGAGGUGAAGAAGUACCAAAAGAAGAGGGAGGCAGGGAAAAGUGGAUUCUGGAUUGGCGGUUGUCUGCCAAUGUUUGCGAUAAUUUACAUGGAUUUUGUCGAUGUGCCUCGGGGGUUGGUCUCUGAGCAUAGAUUCAACUACUCUCUCCCAAGGGCAUGUUUCGUUUGCAACAAUGACUUCAAGUUGAUAGAAGAAAUUGAUAAGAACAAGCUCAGCCUUGAUAAAAUUGAAUUUGGAAAACGGAAUCUUCGUCGUUUGCCAGAGACACCAUACGUAUCAGUUGAGAGCUGCAACGAAGAUGAUUGCGAGAACAACAAUGUGGAUGGAGUUAGUGGAGAUGGAAACAUUCCUGAGAUACAAACCAAUCCAUUCACAGAUGGGAGCGAUAUUGGAGGUGAUGUGUGCGGCUCUCUAGAUGAGUGGCUGCAGCCGCUUCCUUCUAGUCAAGACUUGGAGAUCCCACCCCACAUGGUUCCAUUAUAUGAGAAGCACAAGAAGUUGCAUGCAGCAGAAGUAAAGAAUGUUCUGACAUCAUUCAGCCAGAUAAUGCAGUCAAUUUUCUGCAAGCGUGUAGCACAUAUUUUGGUUGAAGCAAACUCCAUUGCUGCAACUUCCAAGGAACACACGUUUGAAGGUGUUACCUUUGAAGUUCCAGCAAGCAAUGCACCAGGAGCAUGUGACACCAGGGCUCCACCCCAAACAAGCCCUACAACUCACAUGGGUGCCACAACACAAGAAGCCGAGGUUGAGAUGGAAGCUGCAGGUUGUCCCGACACCAACCAGAAUGGACAUGAUGAGGACAUUGUUUUGGAUAAAAUGCAAAGUUGCAAUACACUUGGGAAAGAAGAUGUGCAGGUUGGUGAGGAUAAGGGGGAGUGGGAGGAGGUGGCUGAAGAUGUUGUGGGAGAUUUGAAAGUUUUGGGCACUGAUGAUGAGGUUGAGAGAGCCGUCAUUUUAUCACAGGGUACGGUGGCUGCCUUGGAAGGUCUUGCACUGGAAUUUAAUGAUGGUCCUUCAUGUAGUCUGUUCAAAGAGGGAACAAAUAUUAUGAAUGGUUCAAUAUGGAUGCUGAGACCACAAAGAAGGUUAUGGAAACGAUAA